UUCAGAACUGCCUAUUGGUGCAGAAAGUUUUGGAACAGGGGAAUUUCAAAGCGCAUUUUCAUAUAAGAAAUGCUAACCCGUCCUUCAUUAUAAUUUGUACUACGCUAACCCGCUAUCCUGAUCCUUGAGUCAACUAGGCUGAGUUUCUCUUGCAAAAUUUCGACGAAACUUUGACUUACAAACAUUUUUUGAUAUAAAUCGACUUAGGAUGCUUCAGAAC
rnacentral:lncRNA from 1 species